AAAUGGCUAUUAUUCAAAAGCCAAAAACAAAACAAAAAACAAAACAAACAAACAAACAAAACAAACAAAAAAACCAACCAAACAAAAACCCAAAUGCUGUCGAGGAUAUGGAGAAAAGGAAAUGCUCAUACACUACACCGUUGGUGGCAAUGUAAAUUAGCACAGCCACUAUGGAAAACAGUAUGGAAGUUCCUAAAAAAGCUAAAAAUAGAGCUACUGUAUAAGAUCAAACAAUCCCACUCCUGUGUGUGUGUGUGUGUGUGUGUGUGUGUGUGUGUGUGUGUGUGUAUGGAAAUCAGUAUAUCAGAGAUAUUAUUUGCACUGUCAUGUUUAUUGCAGUGCUAUUCACAAUAGUCAAGAUAUAAAAUCAACCUAAGUGUCUAUCAGUGAAUGAAUGGAUAAAGAAAAUUUGGUUUAUACGCACAAUGGAA
rnacentral:lncRNA from 10 species